AGUGAACGCUGGCGGUAGGCCUAAUACAUGCAAGUCGAACGGCCGCACAGUAAGAGCUCGCCCUUACGGGUGGCGAGUGGCGGACGGGUGAGGAAUACAUCGGAAUCUACUUUUUCGUGGGGGAUAACGUAGGGAAACUUACGCUAAUACCGCAUACGACCUACGGGUGAAAGCAGGGGAUCUUCGCACCUUGCGCGACUGAAUGAGCCGAUGCCGGAUUAGCUAGUUGGCGGGGUAAAGGCCCACCAAGGCAACGCUCCGUAGCUGAUCUGAGAGGAUGAUCAGCCACACUGGAACUGAGACACGGUCCAGACUCCUACGGGAGGCAGCAGUGGGGAAUAUUGGACAAUGGGCGCAAGCCUGAUCGAGCAAUACCGCGUGAGUGAAGAAGGCCUUCGGGUUGUAAAGCCCUUUUGUUGGGGAAGAAAAGCAGCGGGUUAAUACCUCGCUGUUCUGACGGUACCCAAAGAGAAAGCACCGGCUAACUUCGUG
rnacentral:rRNA from 1 species